rnacentral:tRNA from 1 species
CGCCUGAACAGGGACUUGAACCCUGGACCCUCAGAUUAAAAGUCUGAUGCUCUGUCAACUGAGCUAUCCAGGC